AUAUAUAUAUAUAUAUAUAUACAGUUGGGUUUAGAUGAACAUUUCCAAACAAUUGUGGGUACAGAUGACUGCUAUGUACCAUAUCUGGGUGUCCUAGCAACAGCAACAUUAGGAGCUAUGUCUAGUCUCACGUUGGUUUUCCACACUUCUUAUUAGGUGUACCAAUCUAUACUAUCGAGUUACUCCUCUUUAUAUAGAAGUUUGUAACUGAUUGUUUCCAACCUUUGCAGGGGAAAGUCAACAUUGCUGCGAAACCUGGUGUGAAAUUGGAAAUA
rnacentral:misc_RNA from 1 species